CACCUCUCAGGGUCGCACCUGGAGAGUUCCAGUACUCUACCAGUCUCGGCUACGGGAGGGAGAAUCAAGCAGAGGCUUAACCAUUCCAUUCUUAGCUUGUCCAGUGGGUAACAAGUGGAAGGCAAUCUGCUACAAGU